GAGCCUACGGGAGGCAGCAGUGGUGAAUAUUGCACAAUGGGGGAAACCCUGAUGCAGCGACGCCGCGUGAGUGAAGAAGUAUUUCGGUAUGUAAAGCUCUAUCAGCAGGAACGAGACAAGACGGUACCUGACUAAGAAGCCCCGGCUAACUACGUGCCAGCAGCCGCGGUAAUACGUAGGGGGCAAGCGUUAUCCGGAUUUACUGGGUGUAAAGGGAGCGUAGACGGUGCAGCAAGUCUGAUGUGAAAGGUCGG
rnacentral:rRNA from 1 species